AUGGUGCACGACUAUCUCGGUUACGGAUAUGUCGCGGGGCAGGUGGUCCACGGAUUUUCUGGAUGCGUCAGGUGCAUGGAUGACACAAUGUAUCGCCAGCUAGAUAGAGAUCCCGGGUCUUCAAAAACCGUGUUCAUGGGACAUCGAAGGUGGCUUCGCGAUGAUGACUCAUGGAGGAAACGCAAGGAUCUGUUCGAUGGUGAAACCGAACCCCGAAGACGCCCGCGUACGAGGAGCGGCGAGGAAAUAGACGAGCUGUUGAAAAAUUGGAAAGAUUGCCCACUGCCGGGAAAGAAGCAAAAGGCGCCAGAGCCGGGAAAGAAGCGAAAGGCGCCAGAGCCGCUGCUGAAGGUAUGGAAAACGAGGUCUGUUUUCUGGGACUUGCCAUACUGGAAGAUCCACCGUGUGCCUCACAACCUUGAUGUCAUGUAUAUCACGAAGAAUGUGUGCGAGAGUCUGCUUGGUACCCUGCUCAACAUGCCAGAGAGGACGAAAGAUGGGCCGAAAGCAAGGGCAGACUUGAAAUCAAUGGGCAUCAGGGAGUAG
rnacentral:rRNA from 1 species